rnacentral:rRNA from 1 species
UACGUAGGUGGCAAGCGUUGUCCGGAUUUACUGGGCGUAAAGAGCGCGCAGGCGGUUUGUGCAAGUCGCGUGUGAAAGCCCCCGGCUCAACUGGGGAGGGUCAUUCGAUACUGAUCGACUCGAAGGCAGGAGAGGGUAGUGGAAUUCCCGGUGUAGUGGUGAAAUGCGUAGAUAUCGGGAGGAACACCAGUGGCGAAGGCGACUACCUGGCCUGUUCUUGACGCUGAGGCGCGAAAGCUAAGGGGAGCAAACGGGG